rnacentral:rRNA from 1 species
GAUGAACGCUGGCGGCGUGCCUAAUACAUGCAAGUCGAGCGAACGGACGAGAAGCUUGCUUCUCUGAUGUUAGCGGCGGACGGGUGAGUAACACGUGGAUAACCUACCUAUAAGACUGGGAUAAUUUCGGGAAACCGGAGCUAAUACCGGAUGAUCUUUUGAACCGCAUGGUUCAAAAGUGAAAGACGGUCUUGCUGUCACUUAUAGAUGGAUCCGCGCUGCAUUAGCUAGUUGGUAAGGUAACGGCUUACCAAGGCAACGAUGCAUAGCCGACCUGAGAGGGUGAUCGGCCACACUGGAACGGAGACGCGGUCCAGACGCCUACGGGAGGCAGCAGUAGGGAAUCGGCCGCAGUAGGCGAAAGCCUGACGGAGCAACGCCGCGUGAGUGAUGAAGGUCUUCGGAGCGUAAAACUCGGUUAUUAGGGAAGAACAUAUGUGUAAGGAACUGUGCACAGCUUGACGGUACCUGAUCAGAAAGCCACGGCUAACUACGUG